CGAACGGGUGAGUAACACGUGGGCAACCUGCCCAAAAGAGGGGGAUAACACUUGGAAACAGGUGCUAAUACCGCAUAACCAUAGUUACCGCAUGGUAACUAUGUAAAAGGUGGCUAUGCUACCGCUUUUGGAUGGGCCCGCGACGCAUUAGCUAGUUGGUGGGGUAAAGGCUUACCAAGGCAAUGAUGCGUAGCCGAACUGAGAGGUUGAUCGGCCGCAUUGGGACUGAGACACGGCCCAAACUCCUACGGGAGGCAGCAG
rnacentral:rRNA from 1 species